rnacentral:lncRNA from 1 species
GUGGAGUGAGGUAAGGUAUGGUGGGGUGAGGUGAGGUAAGGUAUGGUGAGGUGUGGUAGCGUGAGGUGGGGUGAGGUAUGGUGAGAUAUUGUGUAUUAAGGUGGUCAGUAGGAUGGUAAAGGGUUGUAGGACGGGGUCAGUAGGAUGGUGUAGGGUUGUAGGACGGGGUCAGUAAGAUGGUGUAGGGUUGUAGGAUGGGGUCAGUAGGAUGGUAAAGGGUUGUAGGACGGGGUCAGUAAUAUGGUAAAGGGUUGUAGGACGGGGUCAGUAAGAUGGUGUAGGGUUGUAGGAUGGGGUCAGUAGGAUGGUAAAGGGUUGUAGGGGUCAGUAGACGGUGUAGGGUUGUAGGAUGGGGUCAGUAGGAUGGUGUAGGGUUGUAGGAUGGGGUCAGUAGGAUGGUGUAGGGUUGUAGGAUGGGGUCAGUAGGAUGGUGUAGGGUUGUAGGAUGGGGUCUGUAGGAUGGUGUAGGGUUGUAGGAUGGGGUCAGUAGGAUGGUGUAGGGUUGUAGGAUGGGGUCAGUAGGAUGGUGUAGGGUUGUAGGAUGGGGUCAGUAGGAUGGUGUAGGGUUGUAGGAUGGGGUCUGUAGGAUGGUGUAGGGUUGUAGGAUGGGGUCAGUAGGAUGGUGUAGGGUUGUAGGAUGGGGUCAGUAGGAUGGUGUAGGGUUGUAGGACGGGGUCAGUAGGAUGGUGUAGGGUUGUAGGGUGGGGUCAGUAGGAUGGUAAAGGGUUGUAGGACGGGGUCAGUAGGAUGGUGUAGGAGUGAGGUGAGGUGAGGC